CCUACGGGUGGCAGCAGUGAGGAAUAUUGCGCAAUGGAGGCAACUCUGACCCAGCCAUGCCGCGUGAGUGAAGAAGGUUUUCGGAUUGUAAAGCUCUUUCGGUUGUGACGAUGAUGACGGUAGCAUCUAAAGAAGCCCCUGCUAACUUCGUGCCAGCAGCCGCGGUAAUACGAAGGGGGCAAGCGUUGUACGGAAUUACUGGUCGUAAAGGGAGUGUAGGCGGUUUAGUAAGAUAGUGGUGAAAUCCCAGGGCUUAACUUGGGAAUUGCCAUUGAAACUUUUAGACUAGAAUUACGGAGAGGAUAGUGGAAUACCCAGUGUAGAGGUGAAAUUCGUAGAUAUUGGGUGGAACACCAGUGGCGAAGGCGACGAUCUGGAUGUACAUUGACGCUGAGGCUCGAAAGCAUGGGGAUCAAACAGGAUUAGAUACCCCUGUAGUC
rnacentral:rRNA from 1 species